AUACGGAGGAUCCGAGCGUUAUCCGGAUUUAUUGGGUUUAAAGGGAGCGUAGGCGGACGCUUAAGUCAGUUGUGAAAGUUUGCGGCUCAACCGUAAAAUUGCAGUUGAUACUGGGUGUCUUGAGUACAGUAGAGGCAGGCGGAAUUCGUGGUGUAGCGGUGAAAUGCUUAGAUAUCACGAAGAACUCCGAUUGCGAAGGCAGCCUGCUGGACUGUAACUGACGCUGAUGCUCGAAAGUGUGGGUAUCAAACAGGAUUAGAUACCCUGGUAGUCCACACAGUAAACGAUGAAUACUCGCUGUUUGCGAUAUACAGUAAGCGGCCAAGCGAAAGCGUUAAGUAUUCCACCUGGGGAGUACGCCGGCAACGGUGAGACUCAAAGGAAUUGACGGGG
rnacentral:rRNA from 1 species